GCUCCCGUAGCUGAAUAGAAAAGCACCCCGUUGUCUGCGGGAAGUUCUGUGGGUGCAAGUCCCACCGGGAGCGCCA
rnacentral:tRNA from 1 species